ensembl:lncRNA
AUUUUGGGUUCCUUGAUUUCCUUGGGAGGAUAUAGUCUUGGGUGAUUGGAUCUUCUAAACCAGUAUUCAUUGCAGAAAAGCUCUCCUCCAAGACUCACCAGAGAGCAUUCGGUGUUCUCAUCUGUCAGCAAGUGUGCGUGGAGCACCUGUGUACCAGAUUCUGUCCGGUCCUAGGGGUGUGAUGGGGAAGAAACAGGCAAGAGCCCCAUUCUUCUACAUUCUUGCAGGGAGACACUGCAAUGCACAAGUAAGCGCAUGAAUAAAGGACGCAGAGAUGGUGACCAGUGCCAGGAAGGAGGACCUCUAGAGAGGAGCUGGAGAAGGAUGGAGAGGCCAUGGUGAAGAAGGCAGACUUUCUGGAAGACAGCAGAAGGAGACUGAAAACCCAACAACACAAGCCCAGUUCAGUGCUCGUGAGGAGGAGCCAGCCACAUCACGGCAGCAGGGCUGGCUUGGCCCCACACACCGGAGGACAGAGUUGAGCUUGUAUCAUCCUGGCCACUUUGGGACACCGAUGGUGAAAGGCACAGAAUCGCAAUAGCUGGCCAGGUCAGCAGGGCAUCUUCCUGUGUGAUUGGCCAAAGCCUGUUUUGUUCCUUAGCAGGUCAGAGGGCAAACUCCUGCAAGCUCCUUCUAAAGCCCUCUGACGGUCUGGAAAGGAGCAAGGUGGUGAAUUCAGCACUUGGCCAGGGAAAAGCUGUACCUGCUUUAGAGCUGUAGGCUUGGG